AGCUUUGCGCAGUGGCGGUACCAUAGGCAAUGAGGCUUAUCCCAGGUGUGGUUAUUACUAGUUGAAGCUAUACCCAAUACUG
rnacentral:snRNA from 1 species